GAAAUAUUCAAAAAUUAUAAAAAUUAGAAGAAAUUAUUAUUAUUUUUCCCUAAAAUUAAUUCAUUUUACUUUGUAUAAAUUUUAUAUUUUUAAUCAUUUUAUAAAAUUAGAAUAAGUAUGCAACCACAAAGUCCUCAAUAUCAUCAUAAUCUUCAGGGAACACCGCCACCUUAUCCACAAAAGGAACAGUUUAUUUACUACCCGUCUACACCUGCAUCUCCAGGCUUGUUUUAUCCUAC